GCGGAUGAAUGGAGCUUGCUCCUGAAAUUCAACGGCGGACGGGUGAGUAAUGCCUAGGAAUCUGCCUGGUAGUGGGGGAUAACGUCCGGAAACGGGCGCUAAUACCGCAUACGUCCUGAGGGAGAAAGUGGGGGAUCUUCGGACCUCACGCUAUCAGAUGAGCCUAGGUCGGAUUAGCUAGUUGGUGGGGUAAAGGCCUACCAAGGCGACGAUCCGUAACUGGUCUGAGAGGAUGAUCAGUCACACUGGAACUGAGACACGGUCCAGACUCCUACGGGAGGCAGCAGUGGGGAAUAUUGGACAAUGGGCGAAAGCCUGAUCCAGCCAUGCCGCGUGUGUGAAGAAGGUCUUCGGAUUGUA
rnacentral:rRNA from 1 species